rnacentral:lncRNA from 1 species
GGGAGGGGACAAGCUCGUUGGCGACUCGUGUCCUUGGGACGCACCGCCGGGCCCGCGAGAUCGCCCUGGAGGCGCUCCACACCGGCGUGAGGCGAGCCUUUGGGGUCUUCGGCUCCCAUUACUCCGGCAUCAAUUUCGCCGGGAUGAGCAGGGGGUACGCCGCCGGCUACUCCGAGGCCGAGCUGGACGAGAUCGACGCGUCGGUGCUUGACCCGGCGGAGGCCUUGGCGAAGCUCCUCGAGGAUGAAGCCGUCCCGCCCGAAGAUCCCUGGACGAGUUAACUGUAUCGGGCUGGCGCCCCAGAUGUAAAUACAUUAGUUUCAGACUUGUUUUGUGAUUGCCAUAGAGGCCUUUUCUAUAAAUUGUCGUGAAAAAGUUUUCAAUCCCCUUUCUUAUUUUUUUGGAGUUGUAAAGUUUAGAGCGCUUUGUCGGGUGUGUCAAUAAGCAUUGAUGAGCGAAGGCACCGUAGCCGCUGGGGCGUAGGUUUUUUCGCAGUCCGAUCAAUCUUGCCUGAACACCGGUCGUGCACUCUCUCCUUUUCAUGCCCGAAAGUUCAGAAAGAGGGUCGGCCGGAAAGAGAAAGCAUUUUGAGAGGAUGUCAAGUGGCUUGGGCCAGAGCCCCUGAUAGCCCCCGAGGGAUGUGCGACCCUGAGGCAGAGCCAGGGUCGGAUAUCCCUGAGUUCGAAGCGAAACUUGAAUGGAUCCAACUUAAAAUUCUUUUUUCCGUAAAAUUUUUAAUUUACAGAAGUGUCUAUCUACAAAACUUGGAAACGAAAGCUAAGGGUAGAAGCGUCUUAGCUGUUCUAUGUUCCAGGCGGAGCCGCCCCUAUGGGGGAGGCCCGCCGGCGCGCGCCCGGCCGCUCGCCGCUAUCCUGGCGGUGGAGCCGGGGAUGGGGGGACGAGCGGGCCAGACGAGGAGAGGGAUCAGCUCGAUCCCCUCCCCGGUGGCGAGGAAGUCCAGACUCCCGAAGCGGAUCAGGGAGAAGGAGCGAAGCUGGCGUCGUGGUUGGCCAUCUGAAGCUGGAGAUGUACGCGCAAAGGUCCCCUACCUGGCGCGCCAACUGUCGUUGUCAAGAUUAGCGGGUCAAGACUUAGACUAGUAAAUUUAUUUUAUGCACGUAAGGCUUCAGAUGGUGGCGUGAGAGACACAGGUUUUAGACUGGUUCGGGCAAAAGGAACACCCUACGUCCAGUAUCCAGGGCUGCUCGUGUUGCCCACGCGGGGUUCUGUAGUAGGGGUUACAGGAGUGUGAGAGAGGGAACCGGUCCCAGGUCUCUUGGAUGUGCACUGAUGCUCUAGAAGGGUGUGUGCGUGUGUUCUGUUGGCUUGGAAGCAUUGUGGUGCUUUUAGUUGUCCUUCGAGCCUCUUCUUGUCUCCGGCCCCCGAUUCCUCUUUUAUAGCAUGAGGAGGCCACCGGGGUUACAGGUGAGACCAAGUGUGGAGAGCAGUAAAAAGAUAAACAUGGCUAGUAAAAAGAAUAACGAGAGGGGAGGUACAAGUCCCCAGGUCGCUAGUGUCCACGCCGGCCUUCGGCUUCUACCGGUGCGUUAGCCGGAAGGGGGUGGCGGCCGCUGCAUCCUAUCGGCGGCCUCCUCGGCAACUGUAGCCGCCGGACACGAUGAUGGCAUUUUGUCGUGACCCUCGUGUCCGCUGGGGGAGGCGGCGGAUCUUGCCGUCCUGCUGAUGGCCUGUGCAGAGCGGACGUCGCAUCCCUACCACCGGGCGCGCGGGGCACGAGAGCAGGCGAGGCUUCUUCCUCCCUAGGAGGUGCAGCUCAUGAGUGCCUUGUGGCCAAUCGGAGAAGGUCGCAGCCACUAUAGCAGAUACUGUGCGGCCGCGCAUGGGUACUUGCGAUGGGUUGCGUGGAGGCGCGGAGAUCCUUUCUUCUGACAGCUUUGUGGAGCAUUUAUGGUGGAAUCGACAGGGGGACCCAUGAGAUCCGCGCCCGAGGCGGAUACUUGUCUGGUGGGCCCGGACCAGCUCGACCCUUUAUGCUUAGGGUCGGGCGAAGCGGAGGUUUGCGGUGGGGGAUCGGAUGCCCCCGACCCCGGUCCUGCUGUCGGGCGAGGCGGAGCUUGGUUUCGUGGGGGUCGGGGACGCCUGACCCUAGGACGCCGGGUCGGGCGAGGCGGAGUGUGAUCCUUGCUCCCCGUGUUGGGCCGGCGCUAGCCUUGUUACCUCAGGUGGGCCUGGGCCUUUACGUUUUGUCGUCUCCAUGGGCUUGGGAGGAGUCGUUAAUAUUUCCCCCCCAACAGGUACCCAACCUCCUAAGUACUCUAUUGGAACCUUUCAUUUUAGCUCUAGGGUUCAGGAUGAAUGCAAAAGAAUAAAGCAAAGGUAUGUCCCUCCAGUAUUUAUUAUAUUUGUCUAUCAUAGGUUGAACCACAUGUCUCAUGUGAGUAUCAUUAGCAUAAUUCUUUAAGUGCAUAGCAAUCUUAACAAGAUAAUGAAUCAUAAGUGGAGAUGUAGGAUAGUACACACCAGCAUCAUAAAACAGUUCAAAAAAUCUAAGCACUUUUUCUGCCAUAGCCCAAUUAUCAACAGUCAAAAGCAAUUGAUCACCUUCAGCCCUAGGAUAUUGAGCAAUGAUGAAAGUAGUGAAUGGGGACUUAUGAGGAAACAAAUGCUUAAGCAUUAGAUAUGUAGAAUUACACCUAACUUCCAUGUCCAGCUAAAACUUUCUAGGCCUAAUACCAGUGACAAUGCAAUAUAUGCAGCAAUUCUCUGGUUAGAUGAGUUUAAGAAAGAUAUUGCAAUUCUAAAUUUCUCAAUCAAUGGCUUAAGAGCAGUUAGAGCCUCCUUAACAAUCAGAUUGAUAAUAUGGCAUGCACAACACUGAUGCAAGAACAAAGAAUUAACUGCAUUGUCUAAUUCAUCCCUAUCAUCAACCACAACUUCAAUACCAAGAUAUUUAGAAAGAACAAAUCUAAGUUUUUGCAUGGCUGAAAUAUUAGAUGAUGCAUUAUCCAACGUAAUAGCAAACACUUUUUCUGUCAAACCAUAAUCAUCAAGCAUAGAUGCAACAUGAUCAGCAAUGUUUUGACCAUUGUGUGAACAAUCAAUCAACCUAAGACCAAGCACUCUCUUCUCUAGUUGUCAAUCAGAGUUUUAUGUAGUGAGCAACAACACUAAGGUAGUCCUCUUUGGCAUUACCAGACCAAAUAUCAGAGGUUAGACACACACAAUUAACACCAGCAAAAUUUACAAUCUCAACAAGCUUAGCCUUGCAAUCAGUGAAGUAUUUGAGCAUGUCUCUAAUGGUGGUUUGCCUAGAUACUGAAAACAUAUUUAGGAUUAUGAGCAGCUCUAAUGUAUUCUUCAAAUGCAUCAGAUUCACCCAAAGAGAUAGGAACAUCAAGCCUAGCAAGCAAUCUAAUCAGUUGAGUGCCAGCAACAAUAGGACAGUACUCCCAAUUACGAAUACUACCAUAAGGAUUAAAAGAGAUUUGUGACUAAGACAUGCGACUUUUUUCACGCCUUCUAGGGCAUUUAUCCCUAUGGCAGGUGAGGUGACCAGUGCCACCACUAGAGCGCUCAGAGUAUUCCUUAGAGCAAUGGAUGCAUUUAGCUCCAUACCUCACCUUCUUACCAUCCACUAUUUUGAAGAGCUUCUUGAAAUCGAGUCACACGGCCGAGGUAGAGGGGCGUGAGCGCUUACCGUUGUUCUCUUCCCCGUCCACUUCUUGGUCAUCGAUGGGAGCUUGAGCCACACGGCCGAAAAGCUCUGCGGUGUCCUCGCGCAGGUCGUCCUCAUCAUCAUCUCUGGCCAACCCGCACAACCGCCUCUCUUGGUUCGACCUGCCCUCAACCGUCUCGUCGUCGUCGGAUCCAGCCAUCGUCGCACGCCGACACCCCGAUUCCUUAACGGCUGCACACAAACAAGAGUUAGUUAGUACAGAUCACGGUUCGGGUUAGGGAUUGACUGAUUGAGUUAGAGUUACGGUUAGGGUUAUGGUUAGGGUUAGGUUCUCCUACCUUGACAGCCGGAGCACCGGGGUCACCGGCGAUGUCGACGAAGCACGGAUCCAGCGAGAUCGACUACGGAUCUGGCGAGUUUGACCACGAAUCCGGCGAGGACGACGCAGGACUUGGCGAGGCCGACAUGGAGAUGACGAGUAGGACGACGCGAAGCGAUAUCAAGAAUAGGGGAUAGGGUAUACAUGGUCGUGCAGCGGUGCCCCAAGAGGUCAAGAGGCCACCGGAGGGGGAGAAGAAGAGAGAAGGUCGGGGGAUGGAGAGGAAAGUCGCACGUCGGAGUCGUAGAGGAGAGGGAGAGAGCUAGAGUCCAGAGAGGAGAGCGAGCGAAGAGAGAGAGUGGCUGCGCAAAUGAGCUAGGGUUAGGGAUGGGGGAUGGGCACUGCGGCCGCGGCUUAUAUCCGCUCCCCCUCCAACGGUCAGAUUUAACGGUCGGAUGGAGCAGGGGAGGGGGAUCCAACGUCUCUCAACGUCUGAGUCGUGCCUUAUGCGGGCCGGCCUAUUAAGCGUGCCGUGCCUGUGCCAGCACUGCGGGCCGAAAUGGCGGUCCAGACACGGCACUAAGGCCCGAGCACCACGGGCCGGCCCUACCACGAGCACAGCAUCCAAUCCGACGGCGGGCAACCCCGCCGGCCGGCGCGGGGGAGCUAUAAAUGGGCCGGCGCGCGGCCCAGCUCGGCGUGCGCUGCGGCCGGGUCGGAUCUGAGACGAGCACCCCCAACUUAUUACCAUUUCAUCCUCAUCCACCCCGCCUCCUCCCGUCUCCCCCUCCGCCGGAUCUGAUCGGAUCCGCCCGACCACCCCGCGCCGCCGCCGCAGGUGAGCAUCCCCUCCGUCCCCGCCGCUCUCGCCGUCGGUCCGCCGUUCUGCUCUGAGUUCGGUGGGGUUUGCCCGCCGUAGGGUUUUCCUUUUGUUUUGUACUAGUAUCUUGUUUUCUCGGGGAGCCAGGGUGGUUCUUGAUCCGCCGCGCUGGCAAUGGUUUGCCUGGUUGCUUCGUGCCUCGGAUGGUAGUCUUGCGCGCGCGCGUCUUGCGCAUUUCUAGCCAUCAGCGUACAAGAUUGGUGCUCCCAUAACAGGUUUUGCGUUUUUUUUUUGUUAUAUGUACCGCGAAAUGUUUCCUUUUUCUUUUGCUAUAAUUCGAUAGUUAGAGAUGGGGGUUUCUUUCGUACCCGCCUGUUUGGAACGGGUAGUGAAUGGUUCUUGUCACUCGUAGAAUUCCUUGUGCCUUUCAUCCACUAGCCACACAUAUGGACCAUACUCUUGUGCCGGCGGAUCAGAAAUGCCAAACUUUUUAUUGGAGGAAUUUAGUUUACUUUGCAUGACGAAUCUCUCAGCCUGGAGUGUGUGGUCUUGUUAUGUGCCAACAAAACAGAAGGUUUUCAUGGCCAUAAGAUACAAAGAUGCCCUUUUUGUUGCUUGUUUAUUAGACUAAUGUUUCCUUUUUAUAUUUCCUUUUACUACAUGAGACAAUAGGACAAAUUUCGGUAAAGUAUUCUGGCCUACUGUGUUUGCUAAGAAUCCAGAUUGUCCUGUCAGUGUGAUGUAUAAACAUUUCAACAAAUAGAUUAGUUAUUGGUCUUAUGUAUAUGAGCAUAUCAAUCUCUGCUUUGUUGAUCACGAAUUUGUUUGGUUGCAGUAAUUUUUACUUUGCCUGAGCGAUUUUUUCUACCAUAUUGUCUGUAACUAAACAUUUGUAUUGCCUGCUGCAGAUCAGAAAAGAUGGCCGCAGUUGACACCUUCCUCUUCACCUCGGAGUCCGUGAACGAGGGACACCCUGACAAAUCCGCGGUGGCGUCCGCGGCCGAGGCGGCGACCACGGACGUGGAGCUGCUCAAGCGAGCCUGGCGCAACGAGAAGGCGGUGCCAGAGAUCCUCCGCUUCGACUCCCCACUCGUCUCCCGCGUCCGCGAGCAGAUCCAGCUCCUCGUACGCCCUUUGCUUCUUCUUCUUCUCGCCGUCCCUCCUCCUCUCCCUCUAUUACUUGUCUGGGUCUGAUGCGGAUUCGCUACUGCGAUGCCACCAGGAGGAGACGCUGGAUGAUUUCGCCGACAGCGGUGUCGACGAUCUGGUGGUCUCGCUCUACCAGAUGGACCUCGACCGCACGCUCUUCCUCCUGCGCUCCUACCUCCGCCUCCGUCUGCAGAAGGUCAGUCGCAUCAAAUCCCAAUCUGUUCGCUAAAACUGACCAAUUGUAAUUGUAAUUACCGAAUUGUUGCCAGUUUGAUUACUUGCUGGCUAUAGAUCGAGAAGUACACGAUGCAUAUCUCCAGGUCUGACGACCUCCUCAGCCGGCUGUCGCUGCAGGAGUGCCGGUUCGCUAAGAGGUAUCUUCUGACUGUGCGACUGGCAUUUGCCCCAAUUAUUUUGCAUUGGCUUGUGAAACUAGAUGAUUCUGAUGGGAAUCAAUUUCUUGUGUUUGAUCUGUCACUAGUUGCUCUGAGAUCAUGGAGAAGCAUCUCGAACAGUCGGUGCUGUCGAAGCUGCCGUAUGGCUAUGACUCGGUUACCAGACAGUCCUUAUCGAGCACUGAGGAUGACAUGGGUAUGUACCCUUCACUUGAUCUGCCAAAUUUUGGAGUUCCUUGUCCUGUUGCCGUACUGCUUCUGUCGUUUGCAGCUUCAGUCAUUACAUAUUUUGCAUAGGCUGCUGGAUGUGAAUAGUUGGUAAUAUAAGUUUCACCAUUUUUUUUGAGUUGGGCGGCCUGAUAGUUGGUACAAAGUAUCUUUGGGAAAUCUGGUCAUUAGUUGUACUCAAAAGUAGCGUUCCUACAUAACAAAAUUUAGCUUUCAAGUUAAUAGCAGCUCGGGUAUAAGAAUGCCUCUUGCCCUCAUGUGAUGGUUCUGAUUACCUACCGCAUCUUGGGACUUCCAUCCCCAAAUUAUCAAUAUGUUCCCACCAGGUUGCCAUGAAGCAUGACAAUUUUAUUUGAUUCUGAAUUUUAGACUGCCUUGUCCUUAUCAGGUUGAAAUUUGCUGUUCUGACAGUAUUCUUAUUAUCCUAAUGACCUCAUCCAUUGAUGCGUAACUAAUGCUUGAAUCUGUAAACUAAUGCAUAGGGACACGUUUCUAUUUGAUUUAUCACAUUUGGAUGCAUCAUAAUCUUAAUUUCAGUAGCCUAAUGGAAAGAAACGAACUGAGAGUUCGUGAUACGGUCACAAAAUGAUAAUCUGCAAUUGUAUAAAGUUACACUCCAGAGAGUGAUCAAGGAGAGACCCGACCAGGCACAAAUGUCAGUGUAUCUUUCUAGCAUAAUAACUAGGUUCUCAUGUCUCCCCAAUGCCCAAGGAUCCAUGUUCAGAAUCUUUAAAUCUGUAAAGCUGUCGGCCUGUUGCAUGAUGAAAAUUACCAAUCCUCUAAUGAACUGUUGUGCAUUUGGUUAAGAAACACUUUUGAAGAAAGCAUUCAGUUAAUAAUUAACUUUCUUCACGAAAGAGUUAACUAACAUGUCUGCAGUCACAAACAUCUAACACAGCUUUUGGAGAUGAUCACUAUAGGGCGUAGGCAUAGCUAGAACAGAAACCUAGCUUCACGUUUUCUAGAACAAGCCUUUUUUUGCUUCACUUUGAGGCAAAGUUCAAGAGUAAAUAAACAAUUCUUCCGUAUUUCUGAAAAAGUGAAUGCUUUUGAAUUUUUAUUUCUUAAGUUGUGGAAUUUAGGAAUAUCCAUGUAAUAGACCAACUUCUAAUUUGAUUUCGAUUUGAAAUGCCUUGUUUAGUGCCAGAGCCUCAGCUUGACACCUUUGUCUUCUGCAAGACUAAGAGCGACGUUGGAGCCUUCCAGCUAGAUGACAUGUAAGUGCCCAGGCACACUUCAAUUCUUGAUUUGCACUGUUGCAUGCUUUGCUUACCUGUGAUGCUUCGAUGCAGUGGAGAGGAGGUUGUGGACUUGGUUGCCAACGACUUGUAUGUUCUUCGGUACAAGUCCAUCAAGGGCCUGGUCGAGGGUGGCCAAAUCGAUCUUAUCUGAUGUCAAUCACAAAUCAGUACCUGUAAAAGAGCUUUUGGUCCAAGAUUCUUCUGAAUUCUUGGAACGGAUGGAAUCAAGGGGGGAAUGAUAUUUGCUCUGUAUCGCCACAAAGAUAACCUGAAUUGGUAAAUACCGUCUAAGUGCAGCAUGUGGCUUAGGCUCCAUAUGUAAGACUCACAUUGGAUUGUAUUUUGUAAGUUGUACAUGAAUGUGAUGGUACCAAACUUAGUUUAUCUAUUUUCGUGGGUUUUCUCUCCAUUGUUAAUGAAAUCAGGAUCAUGGUCAUCGUCAUCAGUUCAGUUUUGCUUUAUGAUCAUGUUGCGUUGGCCCAAGAUUAAUCUAUCCGAAAAGGUCACCCUUCCUCAUACUUAGUUUUGGUGAUACAACUAGUGGCUCAUUCAAGUUAUCGAAAUUUUUUUUUUUUGGCUUGAAUAGAAGGUUCAUAGUGUUCGUCAGUUCAGAUUCUGAUCAUAAUGUUUUUUUUCAAAGAAACUACGGCAACCCAUGAACUUAGGGACUGCAAUGGACUAAUGAACUUAGGGAUUGCAAUGAGGGACUGCAAUGGACUAAUGAACUUAGGGAUUGCAAUGGACUAAUUUUUAGUUCGAGUCAUAUGGGAUGUUUGGAUACCAAUUAGAAGGAUCAUCCAAGUAACGGUAUCUUUGGUGCAUGCAAUGAACCGAAGAAACCAAGUGAUAGUAUCUAUGGUGCAUGCAAUGAGGCAAAGAAAUCAAGGAAAACGGCACAAGGAAAACGGCACCAUCGGAUGUUCCAAUGGCUCCUAGAAGCGUUGGAGGAAGCGUCGGAGGUUUUGGUAUGCUGCGGAAAAAAAAUUAUACAAUCAGCUUUUGCUUAAAUACCAUGUUUGAAGGUCGCUAGAACUUGUCAUUUGAGACAAGCAGAAUAUUUUUUUGUGUUAUUAAUUAUCCUUGUUUGAAGGUCAUCUUUUCUUGACAAGAAGGUAAUGGUAUUUAAACGGUUAAUAUUGUUCGAGAGCUUAUGAACAUGACUUAGUAAAUGCGGUUGUACAGUCGGUUCUUCUUAUAUAGUAGAAAAUGCUUAGGAAGGGAGAUUGAAAUACUAAGUUGUUUGAUCAGAGGGCUUCUUGGAGAUCAAGGAAAAACAAGAUUAGAAAACUCAGAUGGGAGGAUGCAUUUCAUGUUGAGACGAAAACAGGUAUCGAAAACAUAGCUCAGCAAUAUUUUAAGAACAUUUUCAAUAUAGAUCAUUAUGUACGCCCGAAGGCGGUAGUGCAUUUGUUUGAAAGGUGCAUUACUGAUAAUUUGAAUGACAAGCUAUGUAGACCUUUCUACUGUUGAUGAGAUUGGGGACACACUCUUCCAAAUUAGCAUCCUGAAAGGCUCUGGAUAAGAUGUUUUUCGAUCUGUUUCUUUCAUAGAAAUUUGGAGUACAUGUAGGAUGACAUGAUUGGGGCAGUCAAAUUGUUCUUUGUAGAAGGUUGUACUCCGGAAGGAGUGCAAGGAUCAAGAUGCCAAAAAGAAAGGAUUGAAUUAGGCAUCUAUAAUUUUUUAUCGUAGAGAUGUAAUCCUACCGCUUAACCAAAUUCACCCAUGUGCCUAGCAAGAAAGUGUAUCUAGACUAACACAGAGAAGUUUUGUAACCUUAUUCCAACCUUACACUGGCACAAUUUUUGUAGAAAUGUUAUUUUGCCUAAAGUAAAGAGAAGGAAAGGAACCUGAUUUUUUUUCUCUGGGUAUCAAAGAGUCACCACCCCUUCCUUUGUUCUCUUUACAGCACCCGCACAAGGCUAUCACUCCACCUUGACCCAUGUGAAGGUCGAGUAAUUUUUAGUAGUAAUCCAUUCUCCAACUCUGAGCUAAUGGGUUCCAUAUCAAGCACAAGCUUUUAGGGGCUUCCAUAGGUUUUCUCCUUCAGAGCAACUCAAAAACUCCCUUAAAAUUGUCCCAAACCUUAUUUAGAGAAAAACAAAAAAAAUUUACCUCCAACAGUUCCCCAUCCUUCCCGUAAAAAUACGCGGACGUCAAAAACACCUCUGUUGCCCCGCAUAUAUGCGGGAGUCCGGUCCUUCCCCAAUCGCCCCCGAUUCCAGCGCACUGAACAAAAAUCCUUAUGUUCACGCGGAAGAGCAGAGCCAGCUUGGAGAUGAAGGCCACCUCGUGGUUGCUGGCGCUCCGCGCUGCCGCCACCAUGGCGGAGGAGGACGACAUGGCGCCGGGGUUGUGCCGCUCCACGCGCUUGAUGGCGACCUCGACGGUGUGUGUCAUGGACCGGCUGGGGAAACGACACCCAUUGUCGUGGUCGGAACUCAUCCUGCGCCUGCUGCCGUCAUGCCACAUCGACAGCCUCCACUUUAGGAGCGUCUGCCGCCAAUGGCACCUCGCCGAGCGGCGGCAGCGGCCCCACCUACCUCCGGCGCGGCCCCUUGCCUGCCUGAAUGACCGCACCUUCAUAAGCCUUGCCGGCGGUGAGCUUUUUCGCUUCCGUUCGGAUCACGUGGAUGUACUUUGCCGCCGGUUUCCCACUUGCCGUGGCUCCUUCAGCGGCUGCAGUACGGCGAGCUUUCCAAGUGCUUCCUAAUCAAUCCUGUCUCCGGUUGGCUUGACGAUGGCACAAAAAUCAGCAGAUUCCCCAUGCGCUUGAUGGCGACCUCACGGCCGUCAGCGAGGGAUGCGCUUGAUGGCGACCUCGACGAGCUGGGGGUAGGCGCCAGCGUCCUCAUGGGCAGAGGAGAGUAGCUGCAGGGGUAGCAAACGGCAGCAACGCCUGCGCUGCCACAUAGGGGCUCGGAGCCCGACCAGACGCCGCAAAGGCACGACGCUGGAGAUCGCGAGGGGGAGGUGCGUGCGUGAGGGGUAGGUGACCAGCUAGGCCCAAUUACGAUGAUGUGGCAUGUUUUGAAAUAUUGGGAGCUAGUUAUUAGCGAUCUGCUGUGGGUUGAUAUGUUUUUGUGGGAAAAUAUUUUUGGAAGACUCCCUAAUGCAUAAUUUUAGGGAAGAAUUUUUUGGAUACUCUUGAAGUUGCUCUAAAAGCGCAACAAGAAUAACACCAUCGAGCUAUCCAAGUUGUAGGGACCGCGACCAUGACACCUUAAUAGGGGAGGGUAAAUUAGGUUUCUAAAAACCAAGGCUCCAAGCACAUAUAAAAAUAUAUUCCAAUUCUAUUCAGGUCUGCACUGGGUUUUUCUACGUGUUGCUAUCCCUAGUGCAUAAAAGUUUUGCACCCUAUGUUUCUAUCCUACAAGCUCACACAUAACAAUACUAGGAAACAUAAAUAUAGAAAUAAAAGUGUAAUAUGUAAUGUGCAAGGUAAAUGGGAUAGAAAAUAUAAACUCUCAGCACGAUGAAUUUUUACCAAGGUAUCCGAAAGCUCACGCUUUUUGUAAUCCUCAUUCGAGCCCUUCAUGACAGAAUGCCCACACAAGGGCCAAUCACCUGGUCAAAAAACUCCAUGGAUGGCCACGAGACUUCCCCACGUGACAAUACUAAAAGGUUUUGUCACUAAUGCCAUAGUUUUUUUUUGCAACAGACGAUUUUUGUAGGGUUUAUUACGACAAUAGUCCUUAUUUGUUGUAAUAGGGUGCCAUGUUGCCAUCAUUUUUAUAGCGUUGUGAUUACAAUUUUAGUGGUUGUAAUAGGUACUCUAUAUCACAACGAAUAUAUGUUGGUUAUAAUUGCGGCGACGUUAUUGCCACACUAUUUUAUAGUGGUGGCAAUAAUUGUCCAUAUUACAACGAUUAUAACACGUUGUGAUAAGUACUAUCGUGCGGCAAAAGAGUCUUAAAUAUAACAACGAACACAGUGUUGUUGCAAAAGAAAUCUUGGUUAUUACAACGAAAAUGAUGUUGUUGCAAAACAAAUAUUGGUUACAACAACAAAAAUAAAUAAUGUUGUAAAUGACUCUUAGAUAGUGCAACACUAGUAUGUAUUGUUGCAACUAGUAUUAGAUAUAGCAACGAAAAUGGUAUUGUUGCAAAAGAAAUCUUGGUUAUAACAACAAACACUCGAAUCGUUGCUAGACAGAAGGUGUUAUUGCAAUAAUAUAUAGUCGUUGCAAUGUAGGGGAACGCAUGGUUGUAAUAGAUAAGUUUGUGGGUGCCGCCAGCUUGGUUAUGUUGGUGGGCCUUUAUUUUGACCCACACAUAUGGCAGGCCUUUCUUUCACAAGCUGAGAGGUCUAAUCCUGAUCUAUCUCCUAGAGUCGCCUCCCCUCCUUCUUCACACGACACCUCUUCUUUGUGUGAUGUUGCCUUCAUCGCGCGAUCGCCGUCUGCCGUCGCCUUCCCUAGCGCACGAGUUGCCGAGUGCCAAGGAAGAGUUCCCUUGUUAGUCCUUCACGAUCUCUAGACGCGGGACGACACGGGCAUUGUCCGAUUCCAUCCUCUCAAUGCAAGGUAUAAAAUCGAUCCAGAUCUAUCGCAAUUAAUGUGCAUGCUGAUAAACUUGAGUUCUUCAAUUAGUAUAUAUAUUCAUUCAGUUUUUAUAAUACUUGUUGGUAGUAAUAAUACCGAUGAAGGAACCUAUAUUUUAUGCAGGUUAUUCAGGAGUUGUAUAGUAGUACAAACCUGUGCUUAAAUUAUUAGUUGGGUUUUUUGCAAUAUGGCACAUGAUCAUGAGGAUCGUAGUUGGAUGGAAUUGUCACAUACAGAUGCUGCGUGGCAAAACAGAGUUGCUAAAUUCAUUGAAGAUACCUUUGAUGGCACCUUUCCUGGACAGACUGCGCUCUGUCCAUGUAGAGGAUGUUGUCGCAUGGCAUAUCAAAAUAAAGAAGUUGUUGAGUUGCACUUGAAUACCAGAGGGUUUGAUCUGUAUUACAAAAAAUAGCAUCAUACUGGUAGAUCUGCUAAACGUAUUGUUGUGGACAAUGAUGACCGGGAUGUUUGUGAAGGUGAAGAAGGUGAUCAUGAUGAUGGCGUCGCAUCUAAUAAACUGCUUUCAUCGUUAAUUAGUGGUGCCAUACAUGGUGAAAUUAGAGGUGGUAAUAUUGAGGAGCCAAAUGAGUCAGCAAGGAAAUUGUUCAAGUUAAUGGAAGAAGCUAGAAAAGAACUAUACCCAGGUUGCAAGGAGGCUACCCAAAUAUCUUUUAUUAUGAGGCUAUAUUAGAUUAAGUGCAUGUUCAGUAUUAGCAACAAUGCUCUAGAGCAAGUACUAUUAUUAUUCUGCUAUGUGCUCCCCAAGGACCAUUGUGUCCCAGAUACCCUGGACAAAGUUCAAAAGGUAGUUCGAGACCUUGGCUUGGACUACCAAAAGAUUCAUGCUUGUGUUAAUGAUUGUGUGUUAUUCCGUGGAGAAGAGUACGAGAAGCUGAACACAUGUCCAAAAUGUGGGGAGAGUAAGUGGAAAGAUACAUAUUUAGAGUGUGGUGGUGAUGGCACUGGUGGAGUAAAGAAGAAGCUCUUACCUCGUAAGAUACUGAGGUAUUUUCCACUUAUUCCUCGAUUGUAGAGAUUAUAUAUGAACGAGAUCACAUCGGCGCAUAUGCGUUGGCACAAGGAAGAAUUGGUUGAAGAUGGGAAAGUGCGGCACCCAGCUAACUCAAAGGCAUGGAGGCACGUAGAUGCCAAGUAUACUGCAUUUGCAAGUGAUCCACGUAAUCUUAGGGUGGGACUUGCAUCGGAUUGCUUCAAUCCAUUUGGGAUGUUGAAUGUGACUUACACUAUAUGGCCAAUGAUCCUAAUUCCUUAUAACCUGCCUCCUUGGUUGUGCUUCAAACAAUCGUAUUGGAUGAUGUCGAUGCUAAUUCGUGGGCCUAAAUCUCCAGGAAUUAACAUUGAUGUAUAUUUGCAGCCUCUGAUCGAUGAGCUUAAAGAGCUAUGGGACAAUGGAGUUGAUACUUGGGAUGCGGAAAAAAAGAAAAUUUUACUCUGCGUGCAAUGCUACUUUGGACAAUUAAUGAUUUUCCUGCAUAUGCGAUGUUGUCUGGUUGGAGCACAAAAAGCAGGUUUGCUUGUCCUUGUUGCCACAAGGAUACUGAUUACUUAUGGUUAAAAUAUGGUUCAAAGCAUUGCUACAUGGGCCAUCGUCGUUUCUUGCCUAUGAACCACAGAUGGCGGAGGAACAAGGUUAGCUUCAAUAACAAGGUAGAAAUGAGGGAGACUCUAGUGCCCCUCAGUGGUGCACAAGUAGUGGAGCAGUACAAGAGUUUUGAGCAAGUCACUUUUUGAGCGACUACUUCAAGGAAGAGGAAGCAGCGCGAUGAAGAUAAUUGAUGGCACAACUGGAGGAAGAAGAGUAUUUUCUUUGACCUUCCUUACUGGGAUUAUCUGCUCAUACGCCAUAAUCUCGAUGUGAUGCAUAUUGAGAAGAAUAUAUGUGAGAGCUUGCUAGGGACAAUGCUUGAUUUGGCUGGUAAAAGUAAGGACGGUGAGAAGGCUAGACUCGAUAUGCAAGAAUUGGGUAUAAGGCAGGAUCAACAUAUAUUGUUUGAUGAUAAAGGAAAAUACACUUUGCCACCAACGUUGUACAAGUUAGGUGAUGAUCAGAAGGAAAUUCUGUGCAAUUUUCUUCAAGGUGUUAAGAUGCCUGAUGCUUGUGCCUCAAAUAUCAAGAGAUGUGUUAAUGUCAAUGGUUUUAAGGUUGCUAGACUUAAAAGUCAUGACUACCAUGUUAUAUUACAAAAACUUUUACCCUUGGUGGUGCGCCAAAUAUUGCCUUAAGAAGUAGUGAUCCCAUUGAUCGAGCUCAACAGGUUUUUUAGUUCAGUAUGUUCAAAGGAGCUUGAGGAAACUGAGAUGAAAGAACUUACUAAAUCAAUUGGAGAGACCCUGUCAGUGUUUUAGACUAGCAACCCACCUAGGGGGUACCCUAGGUGGUCUUUUGUGCGGUAAGGAUCGUUGAGAAUCAAGGAAUCAAUGGUGACGCAAGGAACACGAUUUAGACAGGUUCGGGCCGCUAGAUCGUGUAAUACCCUACAUCCUGUGUGUUGGUUUGUAUUGAUUUUGGAUGAACUAGAGUUGUUGUUGAGGGGGGUCCCUGCCCGUCCCUAUAUACACGGGAGGGCAGGGUUACAAGUCUGAGUCCUAGUCGAGUACUAUUACAGAGUUCUACUCGGUAAGACCCGAGUAAUUUUCCAUACACGUACUUGACUAGUUCCGAGUGGGAUAUGCCUAUCCUUUGUCCUGAUCGUGUCCAAGGUCUACUCGUGGGCCUGGGGUGCAUACCCGACAAGCCCUUGAGUACUUUGUAGUCGUGCGCCACAGUCUCUGGCACUGCGGGCACUAUCCGAGUAGUUCGUCGUAGAGGUUGCGGACCGAAGUGCUCGAGUACUGUCGCGUGGCUGGAAGGUACUCUUCUUGUUCCUUCGAGUUGUUUCUGUUCCGAGAAUUUUUAUAUGGUAGUGCGAUGUCAAUCGCACUCCAUAUGGAGUAGCCCCUGAGCCUUAGGUUUAGUCGAGGAGUCAGGCUUAGGGUCAAUCCAGCUUUUUGUUUGUUUUACCCUUGAAAUCUUGAAAAAGAAAAAACUGACCAUUGGGUACAGUACCCGCAGCCCCUGAGCACUUAGGUGAUCUCUGUCGUUGAAGUGGUCAGCAAUCCAUUGAAAAGAGUAGCCGUUGGGUGUUUAAGGCAAUUAAUCCUCUUAAAAUCCAUUCGUUGCAUAACUGACGCUUGGAAUCCGGAGGUGGCGGAGAUAAAACUGGAGGGCCCCCGUUCGGUUAGGUUUACCCCCAAUAGUAUUCAGAUCUGCUUUCCUUCCUCCCCUGCGCGUCUGCUCCACGUUUGCACCGCCGCAAUUGCCCAGUGCCACCACCGCCAUUAUUCUCCCUUGAGAGAGAUCCGAGAGUGAGUGCCUGUUGCUGAGGUUGUCAUUGGCGAAUGCACACCAAGAAGAUGGGCAAGAAACCCGAGAAGAUCCAGGGUAAGGCUCCAGCGGCAGGCAAGGCUCCGGCGGCGGGCAAGGUGAAGUCCAAGAAAGGGAAGGAACUGGUGCUGCCGGCGCCGAAGGUGGGGCCAACGAAUCAGACUGCGCUGCCACCGCCUGGACUGACGUGGCAGCAUUCGGUGAUGAAGGAGGAGGCCGUGCAAGCACUAGUCGAUGCCAAGCUUCUUCAGCCGAACGAGAUACUUGAGUGGCGCCCCGCAUUUCCAAAUGCGUGGCAAUUUGAGGAACAUCCAGCCGAGACAGUGAUGCUUGCACACUUUGUGGAGAGGGGGUUGGCAGUGCCCACCUCCGACUUCUUCAGAGGUAUUCUCGAGUACUAUAAGCUUCAACUUGUGCAUUUGAACCCCAAUGGUGUACUGCAUAUGUCGAUUUUUGUACACCUCCGCGAAGUGUAUUUGGGAGUUCCUCCAAGUCUCAAGUUGUUUAGGAAACUGUUCUGCUGUAAGCCUCAGCCGAGUGCUCAAAGGACAGAAGUCUUUAGAGGCGUCGGGUUCCAACUUAGGAACUCGGGCGCAUAUAUUGAGUAUAACUUGAUUGACUCCCAUGGGGAGUGGAAGAAAAGGUGGUUCUACAUCGGGAACCAUGAUCCUCGCUUGCCUGUGGUGACUGGUCACGCGCCCAAGCAUGCAGAAAACUAGGUGAGCGAACCCAAAGACACCCCCGAUCUUGACCACUUGAUGCAGCGAAUUACCGAGUUGAAGGCACUCGGUCUAACUGGGAUCAAUGUGGCGGCCAGCUUUCUGAAGAGAAGAGUCCAGCCGCUUCAAAAACGUGCUCACUCGAGAACUGAGUACACAUGUCUUAAGGAUCCAUCGCGUAUGUUCGAUGAGGAUAUAUCCGAUGAUGAUGUAGAGGCGCUGUUGGCCAAGUUCUUCAGGAACUAUCAGGGAGUACCAGUAAUCCCUGCGGCUCUUCGUCAGUACGAUGCCUGGUAUGAGCCAGAAGUGGUAUGUCUUUGCACCUGACUUGUACUUUUUGACUUGUGUGAUAUUUGUUGUUAAUAUUGACUUGUUUUUUUUUGUAGUCUCGAGUUCUUGCCGGCUACUUGGCGCAGUUGGAAGAAGAGUCAGAAACUGUUGCUGAGGAGUCAGAGGAUGAACCCUCUCCUCCUAUGAAGAAACGCAGAGUAGUCCGCAAGAUGUUUGCGGCUAAGUCUUCUUCAACCCCUAAGAAGUCUCGAGGUACCAAGGUAUGUAGUCGUGAACUCAUCUGUAGCUGAUGAAUUUGAACUUUCUAUUGUUGUAACUAAUUUGUCUUGUUCAUAAAGGCUGUUGACACGACGCUUGGUGAUGAUGAGGUUGCUUCUGAAGAAGUAGUCGUGACCGACCCGGACGUCGGUAAUGUGUCUGUUGAUAUGGUGCUAGAGAGGGUGCCAUCAACAGAAGUUGGAGUAGCCCCCGAGCUAUCCGCACCGGCUCCGUCGGCCGCCACGCUGCCCGUUACUGACUAGGCGGUCCUGGGGUUGCCCGCUGGAGCAGCGGGUGUUGCAAAGGAGGUGUCACCAGUAGUCGCUACUGGCGCCUUGUUGUCCAGCAUGAUCGCCAGUGGUAAGCGUUCUGUCCCGACUAGUUUCGUUUCUGAGUUGUAUUGUAGUCUUGACUUCUGCUUUACAGGUCUUUGCGAGAAGACAGCGCCGGCGGCUGUUCCUGUGGCACCGACUACUCGGCCACCUGUUGUCGAGAAGAAACGUGUGCGAUUUCCGCCACGCUCAACUCGGUGAGCUUGCUUAUCUGGUGUAUAUCUUUAAGUUGUCUUGAAGUCGUAUAAUGACGUUUCUUGAUGCAGGGAUGCGGAGGAAACUAUACCUGUGGAGGCAGGGGUAGAGUCGGAUCCCCCGACUACAUUUUCUGCUCCCUUGGAGGAUUUAAUUGUUGAGGAGGUACCCGAAGUCGACGCCGGUCGCCUUGGAGCUACCAUGUCCAUGCUCCAAGACAUCAUCCAUUCGGUGGAAGUUCCCGCCGCCGCGUCGGGUUCGGGAAGUGCUGCCUUAUCAACAUCCACUGACGAAUCUCUGGCUGUAGUGGGUGUCGAAAAAGCCAAAGAGGCAACUGCUCCAGGUAUGUUUCUGUAGUCCUGUUAUUGUAGUCGUGGCAAGCAGUUGACUGAUGAUAAAUGUUGUAGGUGCCACUUUGGGUACAGCUCCUCAUCUUGCGGAGAGUACUCAAAGACCAGUGCUCAGCCUGCCAUCUGACUCAAAGUUCUAGAGGGCCAUCGAUGUUUUCCGGAGCUUCCAGGUGAAUUUCCUUUGAGUUGUCACAUAGAUCAAGUAAUUGUGAGGCUUUUAACUAAUCGUAUUGCCUUGCAUACUCGGACCCUUCAGGAACGAAGUCAUCAAUGGGAGCAGGAAUGUGCGCGACUGACAGAAGCUCUGAGGGUUCACGAGGUUGGAGCGAAGUCUUUUGCUGUGGAACGUUCGGAUCAAGCAGUCCUGCAGCAAAAACUGGAGAGCCGCUACAAGUCUCUGGACAAAAAGUAUCAAGGUGAGUACUUUGCAUACUCCGAGUAUGUCCGAUUGUAGUCGGCUGUGGUUGAACUUGUUUGUCUUGUAGAGCUCAAGAGGCAAGAGGCGGCUGCAAGGAGCCAAGUCCUCGACUGGAGAAACGCGCACGAUCGAGUGGCGGAUGAAGCUGAACGUCUUCGGGCCGCGCUAAUGGAAGCACAGGCUGCUUGCGAGCAUCAGCGGGAUAGGAAGAUGCAGAAUGGCGUGAUGCUUGCCAUGGCCAUGGUGGCAUGUAGGGAUCAUGCCCAGACCAUGGGAAGACUCCGAGGCGAACUCUAGGAGCUGACUGUAGCAGCUGAAGACUUGGUGAACGCCAUAGCCCCCGUGGAAGAAGGCGUGGGGCCGCAAUCACUAGUCGAGCGAUUGAAGGCUGCCCCAAGUAAAGUGGUGGGACUCUGCAAAGCUGUCCUUGCAGUUGUGAAGUCCUACUACUCGAGGGUAGACUUGGCGACGACUGGUGACGGCGUGGCUCGCAACUGCACAGAAGAAGCAUAUGCGCAGUACCUCGAGGAGGCGAAGCCUAUCGCGUCGAAGAUGUUGGAGUUUGUCUCUCCAGAAGAGCCUUGGGCGUUGAACAAUAUUUUGAAAAAAGGAAUGCUUGCCCAUUGUUUUGUUGCUUGGAGUGGUUGUCUUGCGAAGAGUAGUUUUACUCUGUCUUGCCCGACCCAAAGUCCCGGGGUCGGCUAAGCCCGACCCCUUGAGGGAGGAGCUCCGCCUCGCCCGACCCUAAGUCCUAGGGUCGGGUGCGCCCGACCCCUGAGCAGAGGGUCGGAGUAUUCCAAGCCCCCGAGACAAUGAUGUGCGCGUAGGCCGUGCUUGGCUUAGAGUAGUUCUGAGUGUCGAGUAGUCGCGAUGCUGUCGGGUACUCUACUUUUGAGGGUGCACGGGUGUAUUGUACUCAUCCUUUGUGGAUGCACGGGUGGAUAGAGUCAGAAGUCGUCAGACUCAUUGAUCACGGGCGCACAGUAACUCUUGGGUAGGUGGUAGUUGCAGCUCUUCGGCUAUAGAUAGGUCCUUCUGGAGGUCGACCCGAAUCAAGUUUCUGAGUAGCAAUGGAUUGCCUUCGGUUGCUAUUGUUUGAGUGUACAGAGCCACCAAAGAGUGCACCGGUGCUAGAAGAUUCCUCGUAGAUUGAGGCCACCUUCCCUCCACAGACUCCUGUGCUCGUAGGGAUAACCGCGAUGCUAGAAGAAUUCUCGUAGGAGGUUUCAUCGCGCGCCUCAUCUUGCAGCUCGUGAUCCAGUGGGGUACGCGCUGGAACUCGCGGGUGAUGGGUGAUGAGUGCCGCGGUCUUUAUCCCUCUCUCUUAGAGGUGGAGGUGUGGCCGUAGAGUGGAUUGGCUCCACAAGGCUAGCCAAAGAGCAGCCUUGGUUCCCUCUAGGCGUGUCGCGUGGGGUUCAUUGUUGCCGCUGUCAAGGCAGUGGCGAUGCAGGAGUUCCUAGCGUUGCCUUGGGUAGAGGACCUGGAUAUGGCUGCGUUUUGCACAGCUUCCUUGCAUGUAGGCCCUUCCCAUUGUGGUCGGCAGACCUGAGUGGCCUUGUGAUAUAGUAAAAGCCUGAGGCUUAAAUACAGCCCGCUAGUAGGUAGUUGCUUGUAGUCUUUGUGUAUUCCGAGUACUAAUACUCGCAUGUAAUCUUGAUGAUGUAUCUUCAGUUUUGAGUAAAGAAUUACUUGACGGAAAUUGUGUACCAUGGCAGUGAUCCUUGUUGAGUUGAUAAAUCUUGAGUUAAGACUGAUGUAUUUUGAAGUCGGUAGUCGAGCUGUUAGCUCGAGUAGUCAUUAUGAGUUGUUGCCUUGAAGCAAUUACUCAAAUGAUUUUAUGGGUAAUAGCGACAAAGAUGUUCUAUAUUCCAAGAGUUUGGUACUUGUUCACCGGAAAGCUCUUGGAGUCUGUAAGAUCCAGGUCUCGUAACCUUUGAUAUGAUGUAAGGACCUUCCCAUGGUGAAUUGAUUUUAUGCAACCCCAUCGUGUCCUGGAUUCACUUGAGGACCAUAUCUCCCAAGUUAAAAGAUCGUUCCUUGACGUUGCGGUCGUGGUAACGCCUCAAACCGUCAAGGUACCUGGCAGAUUGCACUAGCGCUGCGCAUCUUGCUUCUUCUAGACUGUCUAGAUCUGUUCGCCUAGUUUCUUCUGCCAGCUCUUCGUCAUAUUGUUCAACUGAAGGUGAUUGCCACAAGAUGUCGGCGGGUAGUAUGGCUUCCGACCCAUACAUGAGGAAAUAGGGCGAGAGCCCAGUAGUCUUGCAUGGUUGGGUACGUAGGCCCCACAAAGCAUUGGGUAACUCUUUGAGCCAUUUGCCGCCUUUGGUGUUGCCAACGUCAUGUAGUCUCUUCUUCAGGGCAUCGAGUAUCAUGCCAUUAGCACGCUUGACUUGUCCAUUGGCUCGCGGGUGAGCGACCAAGACAUAGCGGACGUCGAUGCCGCUAUUCUCGCAGUAUUCCCAAAAGUCGGUAUUGUUGAAGUUUGACCCUAGGUCUGUGAUAAUCCUUUUGGGAAAACCGUAGCGGUGUACGAUUUUGUCCAAGAAGUCGAGGACCCGGUUUGCACUGGGGCAAGUGACUGGUUUGACCUCGAUCCACUUGGUGAAUUUGUCGAUUGCCACGAGUACUCAGUUGAAUCCUCCUGGCGCAGUUGGUAAUGGCCCUAUCAUGUCGAGCCCCCAGUAGGCAAACAACCAUGUUGGAGGUAUUGUGACUAGCUUGUAGGCAGGUACAUGUUGUUGUUUGGUAAAGAAUUGACAACCUUUGCACUUCUGAACUAAUUGUUUAGCAUCGGCCAGAGUCAUUGGCUAGUAGAAGCCUGCUCUGAAAGCCUUGCCAACUAUUGUCCGUGAAGAGGCGUGGUUGCCACAGAUUCCUUUGUGAAUUUCCUUUAAGAUUUCUUGGCCGUCUUCCCGGGUAACGCACUUCAUGAGUACCCCGGAUGAUGCACCUUUCCUGUAGAGCUUGUCUCCGACUAGAACGUAAUUUUUUACUCGUCGGGAGAUUUGUUCAGCCUUAUUUUUGUCAGAUGGUAACUGGUGAUCUUUGAUGUAGUCGAUGAAGGGUGUCCUCCAGUCGACUUUUAUCAUCAUGAUUUCACGAGAGACGUCAGCAGUCGGGACCGCUGGCGGUGUGACUUGUUCAGGUAUGGACGGCUUGCGCAGUUCGUGUACGAAUAUUACUACUGGAACCUCUGCACGAGUUGAGCCCAUUUUGGAUAAGACGUCGGCGGCAAUGUUGUUGUCGCGGACGAUGUGAUGAAAUUCCAAGCCUGAGAACUUGUUUUCCAGCUUACGGACUUCUUUGCAGUAAGCAUCCAUGUUGUCCUUGUUUCAGUCCCACUUGUCAUUGACCUGGUUUAUAACGACUAGAGAGUCGCCGUACAUCAGUAGUCUUUUGAUGCUGAGGGAGAUUGCAAGGCGAAGGCCGUGUAGUAGUGCUUCAUAUUCGGCUUCAUUGUUAGAUGCUUCCUAGAAGAUUUGCAGUACGUAUUUGAGCUAGUCUCCCUUGGGGGAGAUGAGUAAUACGCCUGCACCGGCUCCAUCGAGUUUGAGGGACCCGUCGAAGUACACCCAGUGUUCUGGCCGUUCGAUUGGUGUUGGUACUUGAUUUUUAGUCCAUUCAGCUAUGAAGUCGACCAAAGCUUGGGAUUUGAUAGCUAUCCUUGGCUUGAAGUCCAAGGUGAGAGAUCCGAGUUCAACUGCCCAUUUGGAGAUUCUACCCGUGGCAUCUCUGUUGUGAAGAAUUUCGCCGAGUGGUAAGUCAGAGAUGACUGUGAUGUUGUGCUCUUGGAAAUAAUGGCGCAGUUUCUGGGAGGUGAGCAAAAUUGCGUAUAAGAGCUUUUGUAUCGGUGAAUACCGAGUUUUGGAGUCCGAGAGUACUUCGCUGACGAAGUAGACAGGUUGUUGGACCUUGUAAGCGUUGCCCAGUUCAGACUGUUCGACUACUAUUGCCGUGCUGAUGACAUGAGUAGUAGCUGAUAUGUAUAGGAGCAAGUCUUCAUUCGGAGAAGGAGCGGUGAGUACAGGAGGCUUUGACAGAAAGUCUUUGAGUUGUGUUAAUGCCUUGUCUGCCUCUUCCGUCCAUUUGAACUUGUCCUGGCAUUAGAGAAGCUUAAAGAAGGGUAGUCCCCGUUCGCCAAGUCUCGAGAUGAACUGGUUGAGAGCGGCCAUGCAGCCUGUGAGUUUCUGCACAUCCUUAAUGCUAGCUGGUGCUUGCAUGUUUGUGAUGGCAGAUAUUUUUCAGGGUUGGCCUCAAUGCCGCGAUGGCUAAUGAUGAACCCGAGUAGCUUGCCAGAAGGUACUCCAAAGACGCACUUAGUGGGAUUGAGUUUCCAUCGGAAAGCACAUAGACUAGAGAAAGUUUCCUCCAAAUUCGCAAUGAGUUCCUCCUGGUUUCUUGUUUUGACGACUACGUCGUCGACAUAAGCUUCGACAUUGCGGUGAAGCUGCUUCUAGAAGCACAUCUGGAUAGCUCGUUGAUAGGUUGCCCCUGCAUUUUGUAGUCCGAAGGACAUUGUUUUGU